rnacentral:rRNA from 1 species
GACGAACGCUGGCGGCGUGCUUAACACAUGCAAGUCGAGCGGAAAGGCCACUUCGGUGGUACUCGAGCGGCGAACGGGUGAGUAACACGUGAGUAAUCUGCCCCUGGCUUUGGGAUAGCCACCGGAAACGGUGAUCAAUACCGGAUACGACCACUUCUCGCAUGGGAUGGUGGUGGAAAGUUUUUUCGGCCAGGGAUGUGCUCGCGGCCUAUCAGCUUGAUGGUGAGGUAAUGGCUCACCAUGGCUUCGACGGGUAGCCGGCCUGAGGGGGUGACCGGUCACACUGGGACUGAGACACGGCCCAGACUCCUACGGGAGGCAGCAGUGGGGAAUAUUGGACAAUGGGCGGAAGCCUGAUCCAGCAACGCCGCGUGAGGGAUGACGGCCUUCGGGUUGUAACCUCUUUCAGCAGGGACGAAGCGCAAGUGACGGUACCUGCAGAAGAAGCACCGGCCAACUACGUGCCAGCAGCCGCCGUAA